rnacentral:tRNA from 1 species
GUGGGGCUGGCUCAGCGGCAGAGCGCUCACCUGGCACGUGUGAGGCCCUGGGUUCGAGCCCCAGCACCACA